rnacentral:misc_RNA from 1 species
GAUGAAGAACGCAGCGAAAUGCGAUACGUAAUGUGAAUUGCAGAAUUCAGUGAAUCAUCGAAUCUUUGAACGCACAUUGCGCCCGCUAGUAUUCUGGGGGGCAUGCCUGUCCGAGCGUCAUUUCAACCCAUCAAGCUUAGCGCUUGUGUUGGAGCCCUGCGGCCGCCGCAGCCUCCUAAAAUCAGUGGCGGGCUCGCUAUCACGCUGAGUGCAGUAGUAUUCUUCUCACUCCUGUGGUGUAGCGGGUAACCAGCCGUAAACCCCCCCAUCUAUAAAGGUUGACCUCGGAUCAGGUAGGAAUACCCGCUGAACUUAAGCAUAUCAAUAAGCGGAGGA